rnacentral:pre_miRNA from 1 species
AAAAAGACAAACCCUGGUUUCCGUGUCCAACGUUUGACCGUCCGUCUUAUUUGAAAAAAAUUAAAAAGAUAAGUCACGCAUAAAGUAUUAAUCUUGUUUUAUCAUCUAACAACAAUGAAAAUACUAAUUACAAAAAAAUUUCAUAUAAGACAGACAGUCAAAUAUUGGCACGGAAACCCAGUGUUUGCUUUUUU